rnacentral:tRNA from 1 species
GCGGGGGUUGCGGAGCGGUCAAACGCGCAGGACUCAAGAUCCUGUGGCUUAGUGCCUUCGUCGGUUCGAACUUCCGGCCCCCCGCA